rnacentral:lncRNA from 1 species
CCAGGCUCCUCUCUGAGCAGGGAGCCUGAUGAUGCUGGGCUCCAUCCCAGGACCUGGACCCUGAGAUCAUGACCCAAGCCAAAGGCAGACGCUUAACUGACUGAGCCACCCAGGCGCCCCUGCUCAUCCCUUUAGAUGGGAGAAGAGCACCUCCUAUUGAUCCAACUCCCAGCAGGGGCAGGAACCCACUGAAACCAGCCUGGGGCCGUGUUAGGGAAGGUGUGGGGGGGCCGUUUCUGCAGCCCUGCAGGGGGUCAGGCAGGGACCCGGAACGCUCCUGCCUCCUGGGGCUUGGCCCACCUGGGUGCCUGUCUGAGCCCCACCUCCUCCUGCGGUGGGAGCCACCCCACCUUUCUGGACUUCAUCUGAUAAACAGCAAUCACAUUCUUCCUUGCAGAACUGGCAGGGAGGGCAGUGGGAACAGUGUGCUCUCUCCUUCCCAUUUCCCAGGACAUGACCGUGCUUGCAAUCAAGUGGUUUGCAAGUUGUUUAAUCUCAGCUUCCUGUCUCCAGGCACCACGGGGGCCUCGGUUAUCUUGUUGGUCACCGUGUCACCAGUGCCUCACACAAGGCCUGGCGCUUGGCAUGCAUUUGGUGAUGGACACAGCUGUAGAGCGACACACCUCCGACAGGUGAAGUGAGAAAUGAUCAGAUAGUUUGGCUUCCCCUGCAAAUGGAC